UGGGGAAUAUUGCACAAUGGGCGGAAGCCUGAUGCAGCGACGCCGCGUGGGGGAUGACGGCCUUCGGGUUGUAAACUCCUUUCGACAGGGACGAAGCUUUUUGUGACGGUACCUGUAUAAGAAGCACCGGCUAACUACGUGCCAGCAGCCGCGGUAAUACGUAGGGUGCGAGCGUUGUCCGGAAUUACUGGGCGUAAAGAGCUCGUAGGUGGUUUGUCGCGUCGUCUGUGAAAUUCCGGGGCUUAACUCCGGGCGUGCAGGCGAUAUGGGCAUAACUUGAGUGCUGUAGGGGAGACUGGAAUUCCUGGUGUAGCGGUGAAAUGCGCAGAUAUCAGGAGGAACACCGAUGGCGAAGGCAGGUCUCUGGGCAGUAACUGACGCUGAGGAGCGAAAGCAUGGGUAGCGAACAGG
rnacentral:rRNA from 1 species